UAGCCGUUAAUUUCGCGAGUAUAUGGUUC
rnacentral:sRNA from 1 species